rnacentral:rRNA from 1 species
UACGUAGGUGGCAAGCGUUAUCCGGAUUUAUUGGGCGUAAAGGGAACGCAGGCGGUCUUUUAAGUCUGAUGUGAAAGCCUUCGGCUUAACCGGAGUAGUGCAUUGGAAACUAUGUUACUAGAGUGCAGGAGAGGUAAGCGGAAUUCCUAGUGUAGCGGUGAAAUGCGUAGAUAUUAGGAGGAACACCAGUGGCGAAGGCGGCUUACUGGACUGUAACUGACGUUGAGGCUCGAAAGCGUGGGGAGCAAACAGG